GAGAAUGAAGAGGAUUUGUAUUUAUACAUGAUUUUGAGCUAGAAUGUGAUGGAUAGUUUGCUUGUUAUAUACGAUUCGUAUUAGUUAAAACAACUUGAUGUGUAGAAUGGAUGUGGAUAGUUUAUUUGCUAGAAUGUGAAGUAAAAAAUGGAGAGUAUUUUGAGCUAGAAUGUGAGGAAGAUUGGAGAAUAAAUGUGAGGUAGAAUGGAGAGGAUUUCAAUAUUAAUUAUGAGGCAAAAAUUAGUAUGUCAUAUGUGCCAUAUAUAGUAUGUAUCCUUGCAGCAGUUUAAGAAUGAUGCUACCCUUGUCUAGACUGUUUAUUUUGUCAAAUUCAAUAUGGUUUUUUAAAUCCGUACUUGUUAAACUUGCAUACCAUAUUCAUCUUGGUGAGCAUAUUCUCCAUUAAGCGGCAAUGGACGUCAAGGAGGAGCUCCGAUUCUACGAGGAAGAGUGGCAACGGACAUCAUGGAAGAUCGUGUCCCCUUCCUCAUAGAAUCGGAGCUCUUCCAUUGCAAAGUAUGGUGCCGCUCGGUGGAGAAAUGCUAGCCGAGAUGAUCACGGUCUUCAAGUUCAACAAGUUCUGCAGUGCUAAGGUAUGAAUUUUUGUACAUAGAGAUGGCUUCUACUGCUGGAGAUAGUGGCGAUGGUGGGGGCGAUUAUCGUUCCUCUCACAGAAAGGGGAAAACAAUAGUUGGCCUUCAUGAUAAGCUGAAGAAAAUGAGCACGUGGGAGAAAGCAAUGCUUUGUUAUUUGCAAAGAUGUCAUGAAAAUGCUCUUGCGGCGGGUCAGGAACCUUCUUC
rnacentral:lncRNA from 1 species